CAGCAGCCGCGGUAAUACGAAGGGGGCUAGCGUUGCUCGGAAUGACUGGGCGUAAAGGGCGCGUAGGCGGCGGCCAAAGUCAGGCGUGAAAUUCCCGGGCUCAACCUGGGGGCUGCGUUUGAUACUUGGUUGCUUGAGUGGGGAAGAGGGUCGUGGAAUUCCCAGUGUAGGGGUGAAAUUCGUAGAUAUUGGGAAGAACACCGGUGGCGAAGGCGGCGACCUGGUCCUUGACUGACGCUGAGGCGCGAAAGCGUGGGGAGCAAACAGGAUUAGAUACCCCUGUAGUCCCUGUCUCUUAUAA
rnacentral:rRNA from 1 species